GGAUUCUUGGCCGAGCGGUCUAAGGCGCUGCAUUCAAGUCGCAGUACGUUCGCGUGCGAGGGUUCGAACCCCUCAGAUUUCA